AAAAAUCCUCUCUAAAAACAGAAAUAAAUCACUGGGAGACACCAAGCCACUUGGUGAAAUUCUCGAACUCGGUGUAAUCGCUGUCAGAAAUCAUGGUCUUGUACCAAGCCUUUCCUGCAGCCUUAGCAGCAGCUAGCUCCUCCUAUUGGUUUCAUAAGAAAAGAAAGAUUGUUAAUAAAGAAGUAGACAAGUGCAAGACACGCCAACAAAACAAAGAACUAUUUGCUGUCUGAGGCAAAACCUAUAGUGUACAAGAGAUUAGAAUUGGUAUAGCGUAAUAAUUGAUGAACAUAGCUAUGCUCUGAAAGCUUAGCGGUGUACAAAACUCCACCAAAUUGUUCUGAUAGUAGUCUAUACCACAUUAUUCUGACAUUCUUAAUACACAAAAAAAAAUCACAUUUAACAGCUUCCAUCCACAACACCAAAGCAUACAAAAGCAACCACCUAAUCAUUUCACAAUCACAACAUAUAGCUAUUAACAAUAUAUCACUAUCAAGCAGGAAAAAACAGAUAGAUAGCCAACAUACCUUCGACACAGGUUUCCUCUUCCUGUCGAGCUUCUCCUUCUUGGACUUCACGCGCUCUGCUUCAGCCAGAAGGGCCAUCCUCCUAGCAGUCUUAGCAUAUGGAUUCAAUUUCAGCAUCACGUUCAAGUUCUUCAGUGGGUUCUUCUUCAAAGGUGCCCUCUUAACCUCCUUCUUGAUUGGAUUCACAACGCUCUGAACCUCGUCAGAGUUGAUGAUCCUGGCCAAAUCAGCAUUGACCAUCUUGGUCCUAGGCAGAACAUAACCCUUCUUCUUCUCGGAAGACUUGUCAAAAGUCCCAUAUAUUGAAUCAAGCUUCUCGAUAGCUGAUUUUGUCCAGAUCACAAACCUUCCAAGAUGACCGCCGGGAGCCAGCCUCAACAAGUUCAGCCUCUCAACGUUAGCCACCUCCACUCCUGGAAUGUUACGGAAGGCCUUCACCAACUUAGCACCUUCAGUUCCAUACACGAUCAGGGGUCCCUUGCGGGAAAUGUACCUCCUGUUCCUCAUUUUUCCCUUUCCAGCCCGGAUCGCUUGAGAAUCCUUGGCCUUCUCGGCAUCUGGAUAAGCACCAAUUUCCUUCAGCACCUUAAUAGCAGUGGAUGUUUUUUCAAUGCUCUCGGCCGAAUCAGAGAUAACCAAAGGCAUCUCAGGGACUGACUCCACCCGGUGACCGCGUGCCAUCACCAAAGAAGGAAUAGCAGAGGCAGCAAUAGCUGAAACGACGGCGUAUCGCUUUUGGUUGACGUUAAUCUUCCUAUGCCAGCGGCGCCAGGUCUUGGUAGGAGCAAACAUCCGUCCACCACGGCACAUGUUUCCAAAAGCUCCCUGACCAGCACGGUGAGUUCCACCACCAGAAACACGGGGGAUACGAGAAACGGCACGACCGGUACCCCAAGAUUCGGCUGAGGUCUGGUGGCCGGCCUUCUUCGAGACGGCGUAAGGUUGACGGCUGUUCUUGGAGAUGUUGGAGUGGACAUAAUUGACGAUGUCUGGUCUGAUUGAGGCCUUCAUGACAUCGGGGAGAGCCACGGUCGUGACAGAAUCAGUGGCCAUUUCAUUGAGGGACGCGGGUAGAGGUUGAACGGAGACAAGGGGGCGGGCGGCGGCGGCCAUUUGACGGUGUGGGGGUGUGUGUGUUUGUGAGAGAGAGGCGCGGGGGCGAUAGUGGGUGCUCUAGGGUUUUGAAAUGAGAGGGGGAUUGAGUGAAAUAUAUAUAUAUAUAUAUAUAUAUAUAUAUAUAUAUAUAUAUAUAUAUAUAUAUGGGCUCUUUUAGGGUUCAUCAGAGCUUAUUCUGUGUGUUUUGUUUCUCGAAUAAGGGUAUUCUAGCACGCUGAUAAGGCUUGUUUGGGUUUUUUCGUUUUUUUUUUAAAAAAGGAAAAUCUGAAUUAUUAUCAAGCAUCAUGUGCAAGUUGAUUAAAAACAAAUCCCGAAGAACAACUCCAAAAAAACAUAAUUCAUAAAAUUAAAAAACUUUGGACUGUUUUUCUAUAUAAAAAUUAUGAACAAUGUUGCCAGUUUAGGCAGAAGACCUACAACACUUAAUGUAAAUCAGUUUUUUUUUUAGUAUGGUUAAAGGACAAUACUUGAUUGAUUUUUUUAAUUAUUUUUUUAUUUUUCAAUAAAUUUUUAAAUCAUUUCUCGUUACUAAUGGACAAAAAUAUGAAAAAGAAAUUUUAGUAUCAAAAUAUAAAAUUCUAAAACUUCAGGGACCAAACUAAAGUUUUCCUUUUCUUUUCAAUACCACGCUUUGUUUUUUUUUUUUUCCUUAUUAAUAAAAUUUAGAUGAAUGAAAUUGUAAAAAAAAGUUCUUUAAUAGUAAGAAAUUUUUUUUUUGCAGAGAUAAACAGAACAAACUAUAAUGUUCUGAGUAUUAUAGAUUCUAGAUAAAAUAAAUAUUUAAUUUUAAUUUUAAAUGACACUUGUAGAAAGAAAGAUUUGAUUGGCUAGGGAUUGUAAAGGUAGUAAAACUAUGAGCAAUGUUUUCUCUAGUUAAUCAAUUAGGUUCUGCAAGUUAAAUAUGUAAAUCCAUUAUAUUAAAUUUAAAUUAGCUUAUAAAAUGUUGGGUACUAAUCAAUGUGAUUUCACAUGUUUUUUUUUUCUUACUGGAAGUUUGAACAAGAACUUAAUUUUUUAUCGGAGAAAAAAAUAUUCAUCACUCAUUAAUGUUGUAAAUCUAACAUGAAUGUGGGAUCGAAGGUGAUAAGAUCUUGACGAAUAAUAACAAUUCAGGAUGAGAAAAAAUAGAUAAAUGAUGGUAAUAAUAAUAAAUGUGACGUAUAAUGGAGAGGGUGAUCUAUAAAAAUAAAUCUAAGGGCAUUAUUGAAGUUAGAAUGAGGAACUAUUAAGUUUAGUUUAAAAUUCAUAACGUUAGUAAAUUAAUAACGGGUUUUGAUGGAUAGAAGAAUUAGAAAAAAUCUAGAUGAAUGUGUUUUGAUGAUGGGAAUGAAAAAUAAAAGUUAAGAAAAAACUGCACAAAAAGUUAUUGGUUCAGACCUCAAUUAAAAAUUAAUAAUGUUUGUUGUGACGUGCACGAUGUCAAAUAACGGGUAAGGCUCCUCGAUUAAGAGAGGUUUGGAAAUGUAUGGGAAAUAAUCAUAAAAAUAUGAUUAAUAGGGUUUAGGAGUUACCAUCUAAUAUGAUUAAUAGGGUUUAGGAGUUACCAUCUAAUAUUAUGGUCAUUAAAAAACCUUAAUGAUCUACGACUAGUUGUGCAUGGAAAAUACGUACAUAUUCUUUUAUUAUUUUCCAUCAUUGUUUAGGAUGUUUUUAUCUAGUAUAAAUGUAGUUAUUUAGCUUGUAUUUAGAUUUUUUUUAUAGGCUUGGUUUAUUUCUCAAUAAUAUUGUCUUUACAAGGUUGCUCAUCUUUUAGUUCUUUAUUGAAAUUUUCUUUGAUUUAUCAAAGAUCAAUUGUUUCUGUGACAUUCUUUUUAUACUUUUAGUUUGUAAUUCAUUAUAAUCACAAGGUUGAUGUUUCUUUCAUCUAAUAAUUUUGAUGUUUUGAUUCAUGUAAUCAUUGUAUUAAGAUCUUUAUUGUAAUUUGAUUUUAACUUUUCUGGAUUUUUUUUUGCUUGCAUGUUGAUUCACCGGUUCUUCCCUCUGCAUCAAGCUCAGCAUAAUAGGUUAACAUAUAAUAAUCAACAAAAUAACUGCUAAUAUUAUAAAAAAAUAGUAUAAUCUUAUCUAAAAUAAAUUACAUGAAUGUUAUUCUAUGGAAUAAAAUCCUAAUUAUAAUUUUAAUAAUCUAAUCAUAAUGAAUCUUGACUAAAAUUUAAGGGGAAAAAAAAAGGAAUGAUCAUGAAGGUUUGUAAAAAAACGCUUGCCAAUAUAUUAAAAAAAUUAUUACAACCUUAUUUGAAAAGAAAAGCUAAAACUGGAUGUCAUCUAAUAAAAUAAAAUCCUAAAUAUAAUGUAAAUCAUUUUAUUAUAAUUAAUUUUAAUCAAAAUUGAAGAAAAAAACAGAGGGUUGCUUAAAAAAGCCCACCUGUCUAGGAUUUGGUGGGCUAGUGCAACCAGGGAUGCAGAAAGAAGGCAAGGUGUACACAAGACAAGACUGCAAAUGACUUUCUCACGCUUAGUCUUAAUUUAUUUAGGGAGAGUUUGGCAACGCGGUUAAGGAUGUGUUUCUAAAAAUUUUAAAAAUUUUUUUAUUAAAAUUUAAUAUAAUUUAUAUAUUUUGAAUUAUUUUGAUGUGCUGAUGUCAAAAAUAAUUUUUAAAAGAUGAAAAAAUAUCAUUGAUAUAUAUUUUAACACGAAAAAUUAUUUGAAAAGCACUCACAACUAUACUACUACGCAAAACACGCUUUUACUUGUUUGAGAUGGCAAACGUCAAGUCAUUAGCCCUAUUUUAUAUAUAUCAAUCGAAGGAAAAAAAAAAAAGGAAGGAAACACUAAUCGCAGUGAUUUCCCUUGUAAUGCACAGUACACUUCACAUAGAAAUCUCCACAGGAAUUAGUUUUUUUUCUUAACGAUAUAUGAAUAAUGUGUUGCAAAGAUGGAAACUAUGGCGAUGGUUGAAGACUGCCCUUACACAGGCGUGAUAAAGGGGGAGAGACUGAUAAUUAUUGAAAGCUCCGAUCAACUGAGAUAGCUACUACUAGCUGGCUUUCCCGCGAUUUGUUGCGGCGGAUUCAGAGCUCGUUUAAGAUUAGUUCAGCGAAUGUUUUUCAAUUUUUUUUUCUGAAUGAAAAUGCCUCUCAAGAUCUGCCUACGCCAAUGCUUCACAACUCUAAUGUUUUCUCUUUUGUGCUUCAAUCUAAUAAAAGACCAAAAAAACAAAGAGAAUAGAAUCAAAAGAUUAUAAACGAUUCAAAAGACUCGUAAAGCAUAAUCAGUAGAAAAGUAAAGAAUGAGCCAUGAAAUCAUUAGAGUUUGACAAAUUCUUACUGUCUUGAAGUCCAAGAAGUGAACAUUUCAGUCACAGACAACAAACCAUUACCAAAACCUUCAGGUUUUUCAAGAAACAAUGGAGGCAGACUUGGUUCCUAGUAACUUCAAUCCUUUCACUCAUCAACUGCUUUAUACCUGCUUAAAUCAAUCGACAAACCAUUAACAAGAACUCACAGAAAGACUGCAAAAGAUUCUAUCUUUUGUAAGAAUAAGACAUGAGCAUCUAUCAAACGCAAGCAAAAAAACUAAGAAGCAAACGUACGGGAAAAGAAAAUUCUAAAUGGGAUUCUAAUCAUGAAAGAAAAGAGCCUGGAUGCAUGCACUUUGUUUGAAGCUCCUCUGCCAAGGCUCUCAUUAUACUGCAAUCAACAAAAAAUUAGCGAGUGAUAUGCAUUUCAGAUAUCUGCAUGUCAAAAGAAACAGCAUUAGAAUCCAGCUUAGAAUUUUCUUACAGAGGUGAAAAUCCAACUUAGACUUGUAAACACCUAAACUUUAAUCCAGUUCUAAAACUUUUCUGUAGAGAAACUUACAGAGGUGAAACACCAGUAUCAAUCCUCCCAUAUACUAGAGUUGGGCAGCACAUAGGGAGACCUAAACUUUAAUAAAAAUAAGAAUUGUAAGCCCAACAAUUUUCAAGCAAUAUGGAUGGCGCCAAAAAAGAAAAAAAAGAAAAAGAAAACUGGGGCAGACCUGUGAAAAGAGAAAAAAAUAACAAUUGUAAGCCCAACAAUUUUCAAGCAAUAUGGAUGGCGCCAAAAAAGAAAAAAAAGAUUACUCCUGGUUGUAGCCUGUAUAGGCCUAGGAGAAAAUGAGAGCAUCUUUUUUGAUCCACUUUGAUUACUUUUUUAUAUGAACUGGAAUGUUUUUAUGAAAUCCUUGUCUGUAAGGACUUCUGUCCAUUUAACAAAUGAAGCCCAGAAUGUUUGUCAAUCUUGAUAGAUGUUAAAGAGAGGGCUUUAUUUACUCUAGCGGAUUGUACAUAAUACUGAUUAAGCCAAAUUUGCGCACUUAAUUAAGACUUAAUACCAUCGUACUUGAAACAUAUGAAAGCAUCAUGUCCAUUAUCAGUAAGAUUUGGCCAGUUGUAGUUUGCAGACUCCUUAGCUGUAUUUUCAGAAACUGGUUUACGUUUUUUGGAGGCAUUGCUUGCUUUUCCAUUGCCGAUGGCACUUUCCUCAUCAUCAUUGUCUCCAUAGACAGGAAGCUUGAACUUUUCAGCUUCAACAACUCCUAGCCUGUGGACCAUAAAUGUGAACAUUUGUCAAGUAGACAAAAAAGAUUGUCAAGAUCCACAUGAAGGGCGGAUAAUGAAAGAAUGGUGGAUGCAGCAAAACAUAUGAAGUUAAAAUUUGACCUUACCUAGCCAUGGCCUCUUCAUCAGGAAGGGUUUCUUCAUUGAUUUCUGGCAUGUCAUCUUCAUCCAGACCUAGAGGUCAACAAUUUACAAUCAUGAGGUCGUCAUAGUAGAGGAUCGUGAACAACAGUGAUAAAACCAAGGGAAACAAAACCCAUUCAAAUCAGCAGACAGAACCAAGGAAAAAAACAGAAAGAGCAUCCUGGAAAAAAUGCUAGCAAUUGUAAAAGGAAAACAGAAAUCCCUUUCUCCAGACAGGCAGUGCAACAAUCGAUGUGAAUAAUUAAUUAUUGAAGAUUUCAAAAUUGAACAUGGCUAAAAACAGACAAAUAUUCUUUUCGUCUUCAUCUUGAUAGCAUGAAUUUCAGGAAGGGCAAUGAAUCAGUUAGGUAAGCAAGAAGGAAUCUCACUGUCUCAGCAACGAUAUUCUUACCUACAACCCUUUUCAUUUGCUCGAUCACCAAUAUAAUUACUUUCCAAUUUCUCUGUUUCCAUUAACUAUAUAUCAAAUUGAUUAAACUACAAUCAUAUUUGUUAUUUGCCUUACUUACUCUGUAACAAUUUCUAUAGUCAAUCGAUCAAAAAACACACAUAAACAUGCUUAAAUGUAAACAAAUAAAAAAAGAAACAAAAUAAUGUGCACAGGGUCGACCAAUCGUCAUCUCUUUCCCUUUCUAACUUUCCACCUUCACCUAUGUAUAAAACCCUAUCAACUCUCUUUCACUCUGUUUAUUAUUAUGUGCAGAGAGGCAUAAUUGAUGGGCCUUGUUUUUUAGUUCUCACAUCCAUGUUUGUGGAUUGGGAGAGAGCAUGUGGACAUAAAAAGAAAAAAAAUAAUAGAAGGGAUGCACGCCUGGAUCUUUACGGAGACAAAAUUUUCCGUAGCGGCGGUGGUGGCAAAAAAACAACUGAAAUUACUGGGGAGGAGCUUCACUGUCCAUAACCAGGUACUGAGCAGUGAACCUCCUGGGAAAAGACCCAGUUUUUUAAGAGUUGUAGGGUAAUAUCCAGGUUUUUAUUGAAGACUAACAUCCUUCCAGAAGGAGAACCCUUCGCUGCCUCUCUUAGGGAGUUCUCAAUGCUGCGUAAUCUAGUGAACUGUGAGAAGGGUAUACUGUUUCUCGCACCACAUCUCAGGGGUUUCUUCUUGUCUGAAGGCAUUCUCUUAGCAGAAAAAACCUCAUUUCCAACUUCCAAGUGUAUUCGUCGCUCAAUUCGUUUACUAUUCUUUCCCGGAGAAGUUUUCAGCUUGCAUUGCUCCCGGCCCCCUACGAAGCUGCAUGCUCUUCCCUCGAGCUAGUCCCCUUUACCUUCCGUUGCUUUAUGCCAAAAACCUUCACUCCCUGCUCGAAACAAGGACCUCCUGGCCUCCCUCUGUGCCCGCUCUCAAGUAGAGCCAUCUUUUCUGUAGAAGGUCUUCUAGAGUGUUUGCCAGGCACUUUAGAAGCUAAAUCAUAAUAACAUGACAUUGAGCUCUCUGCAAAUUCACCGAGCAAGAAUAGAAAGCAUACAGUUCAUUAAAGCAAGCAAUUCGAAUAAAACACACAAGAGAGGUAAUGAAUUGUUCCAUUUCAUUUCUGAUUGAAAUAGAAAUUCUUUGACCUAGCAAAAUAGAAGAAUGGGAUUGGAAGAAAGGCUACAAAUACCUAACAUCCCCUCCUACAUGUACAACAGCAAAACAAAAGUUGACAACAUAAUCAAGUAAAUAAGCAAAACUCCUCUCUAAAAACAGAAAUAAAUCACUGGGAGACACCAAGCCACUUGGUGAAAUUCUCGAACUCGGUGUAAUCGCUGUCAGAAAUCAUGGUCUUGUACCAAGCCUUUCCUGCAGCCUUAGCAGCAGCUAGCUCCUCCUAUAGGUUUCAUAAGAAAAGAAAGAUUGUUAAUAAAGAAGUAGACAAGUGCAAGACACGCCAACAAAACAAAGAACUAUUUGCUGUCUGAGGCAAAACCUAUAGUGUACAAGAGAUUAGAAUUGGUAUAGCGUAAUAAUUGAUGAACAUAGCUAUGCUCUGAAGGCUUAGCGGUGUACAAAACUCCACCAAAUUGUUCUGACAGUAGUCUAUACCACAUUAUUCUGACAUUCUUAAUACACACACAAAAAAAAUCACAUUUAACAGCUUCCAUCCACAAUACCAAAGCAUACAAAAGCAACCACCUAAUCAUUUCACAAUCACAACAUAUAGCUAUUAACAAAAUAUCACUAUCAAGCAGAAAAAAACAGAUAGAUAGCCAACAUACCUUCGACACAGGUUUCCUCUUCCUGUCGAGCUUCUCCUUCUUGGACUUCACGCGCUCUGCUUCAGCCAGAAGGGCCAUCCUCCUAGCAGUCUUAGCAUAUGGAUUCAAUUUCAGCAUCACGUUCAAGUUCUUCAGUGGGUUCUUCUUCAAAGGUGCCCUCUUAACCUCCUUCUUGAUUGGAUUCACAACGCUCUGAACCUCGUCAGAGUUGAUGAUCCUGGCCAAAUCAGCAUUGACCAUCUUGGUCCUAGGCAGCACAUAACCCUUCUUCUUCUCGGAAGACUUGUCAAAAGUCCCAUAUAUUGAAUCAAGCUUCUCGAUAGCUGAUUUUGUCCAGAUCACAAACCUUCCAAGAUGACCGCCGGGAGCCAGCCUCAACAAGUUCAGCCUCUCAACG
rnacentral:lncRNA from 1 species